rnacentral:rRNA from 1 species
AGUGAACGCUGGCGGCGUGCCUAAUACAUGCAAGUCGAACGGAGUGGCGCACGGGUGAGUAAUAUAUAGCUAAUCUGCCCCUUGCUGGAGGACAACAGUUAGAAAUGACUGCUAAUACUCCAUAGCAAGGGAUGAGACUAUAUCGUAUCAGCUAGUCGGUGUGGUAACGACCUACCGAGGCUAUGACGCGUAACUGGUCUGAGAGGAUGAUCAGUAACAUUGUAACUGAGACACAGUACAAACUCCUACGGGAUGCAGCAGGAGGGAAUCUUGCGCAAUGGGGGAAACCCUGACGCAGCAACGCCGCGUGGAGGAUGACCCUUUUCGGAACGUAAACUCAUUUUGUUAGGGAAGCGGUACCUAACGAAUAAGCACCGGCUAACUACGUGCCAGCCGCCGCGGUAAUUG